GGGCACUAUGCUUAAAAUAUUAGUUCAGGCUAUUACCCUUAAAAAGAUUAGCGGAUCCCACUCCAUGCCGUUUCCUUUAAAAAAUUAUUAGAUGGCCUAAUUCCACUUUCCAUAAUAUAUGCUCCUUUGUUUAUGAUUAGGCAAUAACACUUGAAUUAUUAGGCAUUCUUGAUGUAUCUUUUCUUUUGGCAUGUACUGUGUCCUGUUGUUAUGACUAUUACUUAUGCUAUUUUACGAGUGGAUAUUAGCGCAGUGGGUAGCGGGAUGCUGAACUUGCUAGCCAGAGGAAUGAAGUAGACACUUACUUUUUAUUGCACCAUUAUAUUUACAGCAUAGGUCCUUAUUAGCUAUUGUGUUUAAGACAGCAGCUUUCAGUAGUUUGUAGCUGACGGACAAUGGAGCAAGGAUGAAACAAAAGCUUUUGUGGUAUUCCAAGUGCGUCUUUGCAUUCCUCAAGUAGUUGUCGAUGCUGCCCAUGCUGACAUAUGAAGCCAGUUAUUUGCAGAGAUUGUAAAUGAAGAAAUUGUAUCCGUUGAUGGAUACGAGAGACAGUUAGGAAAGCAGCGCAAAGUCUAAAUUUGAAAAAGAAAGCUGCUAUGACCAUCUUCAGUAAAGCAUGAUAGGUACGGAUUCUCAGAGAACAAAAGCAACUGGGGGAAUCACAUUGAGCAUGCAAAAAAACUGAAAAGGUAGCUGAGGGAAUCAAUAUCAGGUCUUCUUUAUCGAACGAGCCGUGGACAAAGAACAACAAUAGGCUGAACUGGAGGUUGGUUUCAGUGGGGUUUGAUCGCCGAUUUUUCUUCAGUGCAAGUACCUGCAUAUUGUGGUCAACAAUAGGUCUAUCUAUACAUUCGGCAAUUCUGAGUGGUACAAGUUGAAGAAGUUCAAUCUAUAUAUACUGGACUUUAAUACUUGUGUUUCAUUCAUCAGUAUUCGCAUCACCAAUGAAGGCAUCCUUUAAUAAUAGGUCAGGAGCGAUGAGAUUUCACAAAUUCUUGUGUUUCUUUCAUCAGUAUUCGCAUCACCAAUGAAGGCAUAAAUUAAUAAUAAGUGUAUACUUUGAAUCUA